AAUAGUACAGAUAAAUACACCAUUUUUCAUUUUUAUAUAGCAAUAAAAUAUCCGAUUUCACUGGAAAAGAAGAAGCGUUUAUUGACGCGUUGAACCAUUGCUGUUAGAUUCUUGAAGGCCACAAACUGGCCAAGAAACCACCGUCUCCGCGGGGAUGAGACUGAUGUUGAGGUCAGGCAAAUGACUAUGUCCGGCACUACUACUAGCACUAUCAUCAUAGCAAUUGGUACUAAUUGAAACGGUUUGCGUGAUGGUAGAGACGAUGGUUGGUUGGGUCUAUUCCCAUUUUCAUGAGUUUCCUCUUUAAGUAAGUUUCCCAAUGGAUCCUUAUUUCAGUAUCGGUUCGUCCAGGUAACCUUCCCGCUAUCAAUGACCAUCUGAAAACUUACCAUCAAAAUCUUGUUACAACGAAACUUUCAUAUCUGGUAUAUUUUUUUAUAUAGUAUAAGAUUUGAAAUGGAAUUAAGAAGAAGAAAAGCAACGAAAUUAGAACCUAUUGCCAAGAAGUGCAUGAAGCCUAAGUAUGAGAUCGUCUUCGUCUUUUGAGAAGUUGCUUUGUUUGAGUUCAGGUUUUUCGUAGUUUCUCCCUCCCACUCUACAUCUCUCGGCACGAUGUAGCAACCCUAAAACAUUGAUUAGGGAUUAAAUUUCACAGAUUAAAACGAUAUCUCGUUGCAAACUCAAAAAUGCACAUGUACUGAUGUACCUAUAUGUAUAAUUCAUAUGAAAAGCAAAACACACGAUUUACUUU